UCUCUUGUGCUCGGGCAUGUACUGUCGCCAGUGAGGUUUCUACCGAGGCACAGUCUUUUUGCUGAUUGCAAAUUAUACAUCCGAACCCGUCUGUUAGCUUCGGCUUCCAGCAAUUUUUGGAAACCCCUCCU
rnacentral:snRNA from 1 species